rnacentral:RNase_P_RNA from 1 species
AUAGGUAUUAGAACUAAUUGCUGUUUACUUAAAUGUAAAGAGAGGAAAGUCCGGGCUCCACAGAGCAAAGAGGGCAGUUAACGGCUGCUAGAGGUAACUCUAAGGAAAGUGCCACAGAAAAUAGACCGCCUUUUUUAAGGUAAGGGUGAAAAGGUGGUGUAAGAGACCACCAGUUUUUUAAGAGAUUAAAAAAGCUUGGUAAACCCCCUCUGGAGCAAGACAAAGUAGGAAAGGUUAAGGGCUGCUCGUCCAGCUUUCAGGGUAAGUCGCUAGAGUCUAUAAGCAAUUAUAGAAUUAGAAAAAUAAUUAGUAAAAACAGAACCCGGCUUAUUUAAUGCCUAUUUUA